rnacentral:tRNA from 1 species
GGAGAAUUGGCAGAGUGGUCGAAUGCACUGGUCUUGAAAACCAGCGUACCGCAAGGUACCGGGGGUUCGAAUCCCUCAUUCUCCGCCA